rnacentral:lncRNA from 1 species
AUUGGACGAGUUUUUCCUCAAUUGCUUUAUUCGUAUACUUUGCUUCACAUAUACAUUUAACACAAGUACAGGGAACUCUUGCAUCUAGCGCAUUCAAUUCAUCCCAUAUUGCUUUCAGGUUAUUAAAGUAUGUUGCUAUGUCAUUGGAACCUUGUAUAGUUUCUACUAGCUUCUUUUGCAGGCCAAAUAAUUGAGCAGCAUUAGACUGUUCAUACAUAUCCUCAAGUUGCUUCCAAAGAUCCCUUGCAGAAUUAGAAUGUAAAACAUUAGAUCUGAUGCAUUUUGUCAAUGAAUUCAACAACCAAGUCAUCAUCAUAUUAUUGCAUCGUAUCCAAAGCUCGAAGUUUUUAGGUUUUGGAAUCCUUAAAUAAAUUAUCCCUAGUUUAUUCUUAGCUGAUAAGAAUAUUAACGUGGAUUUUCUUCAGUAUGCAUAUCCAAUCCCAUCAAACGGUGUGAAUACCAGAUUUAUCCCAAGAUUAUUUGAGGGACUCGAGUAUAGAGGAUGAGAACUCUCGACAAUAAUUUGGCUUUCUUCAAAAGGAUUUUAGUCAUCCAUUACUACAGAUUCAACUAAGUUGUAUGAAAGCAUGUGAUGUCUCUACGUGUCAAGCAUGGCAUGUAGCAAAACAUAAUUGCAGCUUGGUUAUCUCAAUGACAAACUUAUGUAAUUGUAUCGCCACCCUUUCCAUUAUAGAACCCUUGGACGAGCUGUGUGUCUGAGCUGGCGUCGAUGCAUUGUCAACAAAAACCUUAAGAUAUCCAUGAUAUUGAGUCCAAUGAAAGU